rnacentral:misc_RNA from 1 species
AAGUCGUAACAAGGUUUCCGUAGGUGAACCUGCGGAAGGAUCAUUAACACGUAUCCAAACGUUAACCCCCCUGUGAACCUUUAGUGUGCUCGCACCUUUGUCAGAGCGUGGCAAUCCCUAGUAAAUCAUCGCCGAACAGUUUUCGAUUCAGGGACGUCUGCAAGGAGCGUGCAUGUUGUGCGAGCAAGUGGCCUGGCAUCCCCAAGCAGUUAGUGUCUGAAAGUGUCAUUAACUGUGUAAGGAUGACGCAGUCACGAUCGUUGGAGGCCCACACGGCCGACGACCGGGUCACUGGGCGCAAGCCCCCCUAUAACAAACGCUGCUAAGCGCGGCCGCGAUAAUACGCAGUCGACCAAAAACCGAACAACUGUUAACAAUGGAUAUCUUGGUUCUC